AGAUUCUCGCCCUGUGGUGGAUCCCGCAUAACCAUAGUUACCGCAUGGUAACUAUGUAAAAGGUGGCUAUGCUACCGCUUUUGGAUGGGCCCGCGACGCAUUAGCUAGUUGGUGGGGUAAAGGCUUACCAAGGCAAUGAUGCGUAGCCGAACUGAGAGGUUGAUCGGCCACAUUGGGACUGAGACACGGCCCAAACUCCUACGGGAGGCAGCAGUAGGGAAUCUUCCACAAUGGGCGAAAGCCUGAUGGAGCAACGCCGCGUGGGUGAAGAAGGUCUUCGGAUCGUAAAACCCUGUUGUUAGAGAAGAAAGUGCGUGAGAGUAACUGUUCACGUUUCGACGGUAUCUAACCAGAAAGCCACGGCUAACUACGUGCCAGCAGCCGCGGUAAUACGUAGGUGGCAAGCGUUAUCCGGAUUUAUUGGGCGUAAAGGGAACGCAGGCGGUCUUUUAAGUCUGAUGUGAAAGCCUUCGGCUUAACCGGAGUAGUGCAUUGGAAACUGGGAGACUUGAGUGCAGAAGAGGAGAGUGGAACUCCAUGUGUAGCGGUGAAAUGCGUAGAUAUAUGGAAGAACACCAGUGGCGAAAGCGGCUCUCUGGUCUGUAACUGACGCUGAGGUUCGAAAGCGUGGGUAGCAAACAGGAUUAGAUACCCUGGUAGUCCACGCCGUAAACGAUGAAUGCUAAGUGUUGGAGGGUUUCCGCCCUUCAGUGCUGCAGCUAACGCAAUAAGCAUUCCGCCUGGGGAGUACGACCGCAGUUGAACUCAAGGAAUUGACGGGGGCCCGCACAAGCGGUGGAGCAUGGUGUUUAAUUCGAGGCAACGCGAAGAACCUUACUCAGGUCU
rnacentral:rRNA from 1 species